rnacentral:tRNA from 1 species
AAUUUUGUAGUUAAAUAAUAACAUUAGGUUGCAAAUCUAAAAUUAUAAUUUUAUAUUAUUAAAAUUU